UUAACGUUACCGGGAAACCGGAGCUAAUACCGGAUAAUAUUUCGAACCGCAUGGUUCGAUAGUGAAAGANGGUUUUGCUAUCACUUAUAGAUGGACCUGCGCCGUAUUAGCUAGUUGGUAAGGUAACGGCUUACCAAGGCGACGAUACGUAGCCGACCUGAGAGGGUGAUCGGCCACACUGGAACUGAGACACGGUCCAGACUCCUACAGGAGGCAGCAGUC
rnacentral:rRNA from 1 species